GCAUAUGAUUUUGGUCCGGCACAAGGCAAACAUUAUCAAACACUAACUAUUUUUUAUAAAAAAUGAACAAACUUCCACCAAAAUAUUCAGGAUUUGAGCUUAUUAGAUUUCCAUUAAUUUUUGGAACUUUUAUUUUGACGGCUGGUGCAGCAUUUUAUUAUCGUAAACAUCUGAUUCCUGAUUAUACGGAAGAGCAACGAAAUAUGAUGCGAGGAAGUGAUGAAGAUACCAAGUUACUAAAAGAUGCAAUCAAAAAAUCUUUUAGAUAGCUUUCAUGUGAUUAAUAUAAAUAUAAGUCCAGUAGGAGAAGAAUAAGCUAAUAUAUUGUUGUUUACCUUUA